rnacentral:misc_RNA from 1 species
CGGGAAAGAGAGACAUGAAACCACACUCACAAUCCGUGUGCACUUUUUGACCAGUGAAAAAGUUUAUCAGCUGAUUGUGAGUCGGUGGAUGACCCGCAGCGCGUGAGGUGUAAUGGCAGUUGUCGACGCUUAUUUAAAUGCUAUAUUGUAGUAUUGUUCUAAGUGAAAAAAUAUGUCAAACCUACGCUGGUCUCUUACUGGCGCCCCAAGGGCUGUCAAGCAUCAAACGAAAUUGGUUUAAAUUUCAAAUAGUUGUCAAGUCUUUAUUUUACAACCACUUUUUGGACUGGGGAUAUGUAUGUGAUGUUUUAAUGGAACCCAUGUUUUGGUUUGUCGACAAUUUUGCUGCUUGGCUCGGCCCUUUGUUCGUAGUAAUGGUGACCCUGUUGACUGCAUCCAUCGUCGUAAUCGCCUAUUGGAUAGGGCUACCCUAUUGGUGGCAAAAAAGUCCUGCAAUAACUAUAGCAUUGGUGAUAAUAGGAAAUUGGUUAUUACUCAAUGUGAGCUUCCAUUAUUACAUGGGUGUCACCGUUUGUGCCGGCUAUCCCCCGCAAGGUGAAUUGAUUCCAGAGGCUGUUAGUAUUUGCAAAAAGUGUAUCAAGCCAAAACCACCUAGAACGCAUCAUUGCUCAGUAUGCAACAAAUGCGUUCUAAAAAUGGAUCACCAUUGCCCUUGGCUCAAUAACUGUGUUGGACACUACAACCACAGAUAUUUCUUUCAAUACAUGGUAUUCACAGUAGUCGGAAUUUUAUUCAUCAUGAUCUUUGGAGUAGAGAUUGCCUAUCAAGAAUUUUUUCCAGAGCAUGAUCCUGAUCUGGAAGGACAUCCUGUGCGCGUGAACAAUUCUGUCAUCAUCCCAAUGACAGAAAAUUUGGAUCAUUUGAGCAGUGAAGAACUGGACGAAAUCGGACGUCAAGUUGCAGAUAUGACAAUUAAAGAGUGGAAGCGUAGAGCGAUAAUAUAUGCAGCUAUGAUCAGUGUAGGCACUUUUGGUGCUCUUGGUGCAUUAGCUUGGUGGCAUUCAGGGCUGAUCACUAAAGGAGAAACUAGCAUAGAAGCUCGAAUAAACAAAACUGAAUCAGAAAAAUACAAAGCUAAAGGUUGGAAGUAUCGCAACCCGUAUGAUUUUGGGCCCAAUGAAAAUUGGAGAUUAUUUCUUGGUCUUAACGGAAGAUCUUGGUGGCACAUUCUUUUUCCAUCACCUCACAGACCCUAUGGAGAUGGCCUGACGUGGAAUUCGUUUCACAAUAUAAAACCCUCGUGACACUUACAGACUGACUACACUGUGGUCCUGCUUGAGAAGAAUCAUCUCGUCCACUAAGAUGGUACAAUACGUCCACAAACAAGAUUGCGUAAGAUUAUAGUUAACGUCUAAUGUUGAGACUCUCUUGUAAAAAACGAGCUAAAAGUCGCGCGAAUAUCUAAUAACUGCAGCGUAACAUCAAAAUCAGCAUU